UUUCCGUAGGUGAACCUGCGGAAGGAUCACUACUGAAUUUUGAAUGAAGUUGUUCUGGUCUUUCGGGGCAAGUGAACGCUACUCUCACUGCAUCUUACACCUGUGCACCUAUCGGGGAGGACUUGCAUCUAAGCUGGGUCACGACGGCAAUCUACAGGCCCCUCUUUAUACCGAAUAACAGUUUUAGAAAGUCUUUUUUGAUGGAAGCAAACUUAACUAAAUACAACUUUCAGCAACGGAUCUCUUGGCUCUC
rnacentral:misc_RNA from 1 species